GGGCCCGUGGUAUAGUGGCAACACAGAUCCAUGGCAUGGAUCAGUUAGGAGUUCGAUUCUCCUCGGGUCCA
rnacentral:tRNA from 1 species